UACGGGGGGGAGCAAGCGUUGUUCGGAUUUACUGGGCGUAAAGGGCGCGUAGGCGGUCAGCACAAGUCAGUUGUGAAAUCUCCGGGCUUAACUCGGAACGGUCGACUGAUACUGUGCGACUAGAGUGCAGAAGGGGGCAACUGGAAUUCUCGGUGUAGCGGUGAAAUGCGUAGAUAUCAAGAGGAACACCUGAGGUGAAGACGGGUUGCUGGGCUGACACUGACGCUGAGGCGCGAAAGCUAGGGUAGCAAACGGGG
rnacentral:rRNA from 1 species